UACGGAGGGUGCAAGCGUUGUCCGGAUUUAUUGGGUUUAAAGGGUGCGUAGGCGGCCUUUUAAGUCAGUGGUGAAAGCCAACAGCCCAACUGUUGAACUGCCAUGGAUACUGUAAGGCUUGAGUACAGACGAGGUAGGCGGAAUGGAUGGUGUAGCGGUGAAAUGCAUAGAUACCAUCCAGAACACCGAUUGCGUAGGCAGCUUACUAGGCUGUAACUGACGCUGAGGCACGAAAGCGUGGGGAGCGAACAGG
rnacentral:rRNA from 1 species